GGCACCAUAGUUGAAUAACAACAUUAAAUUGCAAAUUUAAAGGAGUACUUAGAUACUAGUGCCU
rnacentral:tRNA from 1 species